rnacentral:rRNA from 1 species
AUAGUUUGAUCCUGGCUCAGAGCGAACGUUAGCGGCGGGCCUAACACAUGCAAGUCGAACGGGCAGUAGCAAUACUGUCAGUGGCGCACGGGUGAGUAACGCGUAGGUAAUCUACCCUUUGGCGGGGGAUAACGUUCCGAAAGGGACGCUAAUACCGCAUAAGACCACGGCCUUUUCGGAGGUUGGGGGAAAAGGUGGCCUCUUCUUGAAAGCCAUCACCGGAGGAUGAGCCUGCGUCCCAUCAGCUAGUUGGUAGGGUAAUGGCCUACCAAGGCGAAGACGGGUAGCUGGUCUGAGAGGAUGAUCAGCCACACUGGCACUGGAACACGGGCCAGACUCCUACGGGAGGCAGCAGUGGGGAAUAUUGGGCAAUGGGCGCAAGCCUGACCCAGCCACGCCGCGUGAGCGAUGAAGGCCUUCGGGUUGUAAAGCUCUGUGGGGAGGGGCGAAAGGCAGAAGUGCUAAUAGUACUCUGUUUGACGGUACCUCCUUAGCAAGCACCGGCUAACUCUGUGCCAGCAGCCGCGGUAAUACAGAGGUCUCAAGCGUUGUUCGGAAUUACUGGGCGUAAAGGGUGCGCAGGCCGCGCGGGCAGUCAAAUGUGUAAUCCAGGGGCUCAACCCCUGAACUGCGCUUGAUACUUCCGCGCUCGAGCUUUGGAGAGGAGUCUGGAAUUCUCGGUGUAGCAGUGAAAUGCGUGGAUAUCGAGAAGAACACUUAGGGCGUAGGCAAGACUCUGGACAAAUGCUGACGCUCAUGCACGAAGGCUAGGGUAGCGAACGGGAUUAGAUACCCCGGUAGUCCUAGCUGUAAACGGUGCACGUUUGGUGUGGGAGGCAACCCCUUCCGUGCCGAAGCUAACGCGAUAAACGUGCCGCCUGGGUAGUACGGUCGCAAGACUAAAACUCAAAGAAAUUGACGGGGACCCGCACAAGCGGUGGAGUAUGUGGCUUAAUUCGAUGCAACGCGAAGAACCUUACCAGGGCUUGACAUGUAUUGUAACCCCGGUGAAAGCCGGGCAGCGUAGAAAUACGCGCUUUACACAGGUGCUGCAUGGCUGUCGUCAGCUCGUGUCGUGAGAUGUUGGGUUAAGUCCCGCAACGAGCGCAACCCUUAUGAUUUGUUGCCACCGGUUCAUUCCGAGCACUCAAAUCAGACUGCCCAGAUUAACUGGGAGGAAGGUGGGGAUGACGUCAAGUCCGUAUGGCCCUUACGUCCUGGGCUGCACACGUACUACAAUGUCCAGUACAAAUUGAACCGAGACCGCAAGGUGGAGGAAAUCAAUAAAACUGGGCUCAGUUCAGAUUGCAGGCUGCAACUCGCCUGCAUGAAGUCGGAAUCGCUAGUAAUGGUACAUCAGCAACGGUACCGUGAAUACGUUCCCGGGUCUUGUACACACCGCCCGUCACAUCAUGGAAGCUGGCGUUGCCCAAAGUACGUUGACCUCACGGUCGCGUCCUAAGGCAAUGGUGGUAACUGGGAUGAAGUCGUAACAAGGUA